AAUUUUGGACAAUGGGAGAACGCCUGACACAGCCACGCCGCGUGUGUCAAGAAGGUUUNCGGAUUNANACGCACUUUAAGUGGGGNGGAAGGGGUGUAGGUUAAUACCCUGCAAUUUUGACGUUAUCAACAGAAUAAGCACCGGCUCACUUUGUGCCAGCAGCCGCGGUAAUAAGAAGGGUGCAAGCGUUAAUCGGAAUUAGUGGGCGUAACGCGCACGUAGGUGGUUCGUUAAGUUGGCAGUGAAAGCCCAGGGCUUAACCUGGGAAUUGCUUUCAAAACUGACGAGAUAGAGUAAGGGAGAGGGUAGUGGAAUUUCCUGUGUAGCGGUGAAAUGCGUAGAUAUAGGAAGGAACAUCAGUGGCGAAGGCGACUAACUGGACUGAUACUGACACUGAGGUGCGAAAGCGUGGGGAGCAAACGGG
rnacentral:rRNA from 1 species